AUCAAAUUGUUUUCAAAUGUAAUUUAAAGACAAUCACUACUACCCCUGAGGAAAUGUAAGAUUUUCAGAUUUCGAUGGAUGCAAUGGUAACAGAAUACAAAAGUAAAUAAAUCAGUAAAUUAGGCUCUUUAAGUGUUAAUGACCUCCAUAAAUGCAGCAAAAUUGAAGGCCAGGCCGAAGAGGAGGUAUCUGACAAACAGCAGCUUAAUGUCUUUAAAGCAUUCAACUCUCUGCCCUGCUAUUUUGUCAGCUGACAAUGUUAACUGAUGCAGCACCCUGCAGAUUACCAGCGAGAAAGUAGAAAAAUAUAAAAUCGAUUGAACUUUCAUCACUCUUCUCUGGAGCUGGAAAUCACCCAGAAGGCCACACUGGAGGCCAAG